AAUCAACGCUGGCGGCGUGCCUAACACAUGCAAGUCGAACGCGAAAGCCCCGCAAGGGGUAAGUAGAGUGGCAGACGGGUGAGUAACGCGUGGGUGACCUGCCUUCGAGUGGGGGAUAACGUCCCGAAAGGGACGCUAAUACCGCAUGACAUCCUGCCUUUGAACAGGCGGUGAUCAAAGCCGGGGCCGCAAGGCCUGGCGCUUGAAGAGGGGCCCGCGUCCGAUUAGCUAGUUGGUGAGGUAACGGCCCACCAAGGCGACGAUCGGUAGCCGGCCUAAGAGGGCGGACGGCCACACUGGGACUGAGACACGGCCCAGACUCCUACGGGAGGCAGCAGUGGGGAAUUGUUCGCAAUGGGCGCAAGCCUGACGACGCAACGCCGCGUGGAGGAUGAAGAUCUUCGGGUCGUAAACUCCUGUCGAGCGGGACGAAAGAUCCGCGACCGAAUACGUCGCGGAAGUGACGGUACCGCUAGAGGAAGCCCCGGCUAA
rnacentral:rRNA from 1 species